rnacentral:rRNA from 1 species
ACGGGAGUAGCAAUACAACUGGUGGCGACCGGCGCGACGGGUGGAGUAACGCGUAUGCCAACCUACCUAUCAGGAGGGGAAGUAACCCGGACGAAAGUCGGACUAAUACCGCAUAAAACAGGGGCACCGCAUGGUGAUAUUUGUUAAAGAAAUUCGCUGAUAGAUGGGCAUGCGUUCCAUUAGGUAGUUGGUGAGGUAACGGCUCACCAAGCCGACGAUGGAUAGGGGAACUGAGAGGUUGGUCCCCCACACUGGUACUGAGACACGGACCAGACUCCUACGGGAGGCAGCAGUGAGGAAUAUUGGUCAAUGGGCGGGAGCCUGAACCAGCCAAGUCGCGUGAAGGAAAGAAGGAUCUAUGGUUCGUAAACUUCUUUUGCAGGGGAAUAAAGUGCAGGACGUGUCCUGUUUUGUAUGUACCCUGAGAAUAAGGAUCGGCUAACUCCGUGCCAGCAGCUGC